AAGUGGAACGGAAAGGCCCUGCUUGCAGGGGUACUCGAGGGGGGAACGGGGGGAGUAAACACGUGGGGUAAUUUGCCCCUGUAAUUCGGGAUAAGCCUGGGGAAACUGGGUCUUAAAUACCGGAUAGGACCGUCUUUUAGUGUAGGCGGUGGAAAGACUUCGGUCGGUAGGGGGAUGAGCUUGCGGCCUAUCAGCUUGUUGGUGGGGUAAUGGCCUACCAAGGCGUCGACGGGUAGCCGGCCUGAGAGGGUGUACGGCCACAUUGGGACUGAGAUACGGCCCAGACUCCUACGGGAGGCAGCAGUGGGGAAUAUUGCACAAUGGGCGCAAGCCUGAUGCAGCGACGCCGCGUGGGGGAUGACGGCCUUCGGGUUGUAAACUCCUUUCGCCAGGGACGAAGCGUUAUAGUGACGGUACCUGGAUAAGAAGCACCGGCUAACUACGUGCCAGCAGCCGCGGUAAUACGUAGGGUGCAAGCGUUGUCCGGAAUUACUGGGCGUAAAGAGCUCGUAGGUGGUUUGUCACGUCGUCUGUGAAAGUCCAGCGCUUAACGCUGGGAUUGCAGGCGAUACGGGCUGACUUGAGUGCUGUAGGGGAGACUGGAAUUCCUGGUGUAGCGGUGAAAUGCGCAGAUAUCAGGAGGAACACCAAUGGCGAAGGCAGGUCUCUGGGCAGUGACUGACGCUGAGGAGCGAAAGCAUGGGUAGCCAACAGGAUUAGAUACCCUGGUAGUCCAUGCCGUAAACGGUGGGCGCUAGGUGUGGGGACCUUCCCACGGUUUCUGCGCCGUAGCUAACGCAUUAAGCGC
rnacentral:rRNA from 1 species